rnacentral:tRNA from 1 species
GCGGGCGUAGCUCAGCGGAUAGAGCAGCGACCUUCUAAGUCGUUGGUCGUGGGUUCGAUUCCCGCCGCCCGCGCCA